rnacentral:misc_RNA from 1 species
CAGCACCGGAGGAGGAGCUCGCCGCAGCAACAACAACAACAUCAGACAUGGUGCUAAAGACAGAACUUUGCCGUUUCAGCGGUGCCAAGAUAUAUCCUGGGAGGGGCAUCAGAUUUAUUCGAUCAGAUUCUCAGGUGUUCCUAUUUGUCAACUCAAAGUGCAAACAUUACUUCCACAACCGCCUGAAGCCUUCCAAGCUUACAUGGACUGCCAUGUACAGGAAGCAGCACAAGAAGGAUAUUGCACAAGAAGCUGUUAAGAAGAGGAGACGUACCACAAAGAAACCAUACUCUAGGUCCAUUGUGGGUGCAACCUUGGAGGUAAUCCAGAAGAAGAGAGCUGAACGGCCAGAAGUUCGAGAUGCUGCCAGGGAGGCUGCUCUUCGUGAAAUCAAAGAAAGAAUCAAGAAAACAAAGGACGAAAAGAAGGCCAAGAAGGCAGAGGUGGUGGCUAAGUCACAGAAAGCCGGUAAGGGUAAUGUGUCGAAGGGAGGAUCAAAAGGCCCUAAGCUCGGCGGUGGUGGUGGAAAACGUUAAGCUAUUGUUUAUGUUGUUCGCUAGGUAGCGCCUAGAGUGAUUUUGCAUCUUGAUUGAGUGUAGCUAUGUUCUGAUCCACCAGCGUUUAUUUUAGCACUCUGAAACAAUAUAUUUCUGAAUUUUUGCCUUGUUUUCAAAUAUCCAGAUUGCUUUACUUUCAUUAUGUUAUGAUAAUUACAAUCUUGUUCCUUUAUGAGAAAUGCAUCUUCCUUGCAUUA